rnacentral:rRNA from 1 species
AUAAGUUUUAGAACCAACACCCCAAAAUCCUCAUCCCCGUAAGACUACCCGCUGAACUUAAGCAUAUCAAUAAGCGGAGGAAAAGAAACCAACAGGGAUUGCCUCAGUAACGGCGAGUGAAGCGGCAAAAGCUCAAAUUUGAAAUCCUUCGGGAAUUGUAAUUUGAAGGUGGCUCAAGCAACCCCAAAAGUUCCUAAGUCCAUUGGAAAAUGGCGCCAUAGAGGGUGAUAGCCCCGUCUGGAACACUUUUGAGGCCUAUCUUGGACCACCAAAGAGUCGAGUUGUUUGGGAAUGCAGCUCUAAGUGGGUGGUAAAUUCCAUCUAAAGCUAAAUAUUGGCGAGAGACCGAUAGCGAACAAGUACAGUGAUGGAAAGAUGAAAAGCACUUUGAAAAGAGAGUGAAAAAGUACGUGAAAUUGUUGAAAGGGAAGGGCUUGCAAGCAGACACAACUUUUUGUUGGGCCAGCAUCGGGGCGAGGGGGGUCAAAAAUGCAUGGGAAUGUAGCUCAUUGAGUAUUAUAUCCCAUGUUUCAUCCCCAUCUCAUCCCGAGGCCUGCGAUUCUAGGAUGCUGGCGUAAUGGUUGCAAGUCGCCCGUCUUGAAACACGGACCAAGGAGUCUAACGUCUAUGCGAGUGUUUGAGUUUGAAACCCAAACGCGCAAUGAAAGUAAUAGGAGCGAACCUUCGGGUGCAGCUCCGACCACAUUAAGGCCUAAACCCUAAUGUGAGUAAGCAUGG